rnacentral:lncRNA from 1 species
CUGCCCUCUGAAUAAUUUUAAUACCUUAUAUAUCCUUCAUUAAUAAGACAUGACUAGAUGAAAAAUUGUCACAUAGUCAACCUCCAUUUUUUUUAAACACUAUUUCAAAAAUCAUGAGAGGUAAGGCCAUUCUUUUAGUGCCCAUUUUUCCCCUUUCUCCAUUCCUUCAUGCAAAAGACCACUCUUUCUCUCCCAUUGAAUCAAGCCCGAAAUAAAGCCAAGUAAAAUCCCGAAAAGGGGAGUGAAGUAAUUUUUACAGUACAAAAAAGUCCCCCAGCGCCAAUAUCACCACUAUCUACAUGGUCAUCUUCGUCUCCACCACCGCUGUCAUCCUUCUCCUCCGUACCCUUCGAUACCAUCAUGGCCAACUCCCCGUUGCCAUUAGUCGCGGUAGCUAGCUCUGGAAUUCUUAAAGCUUAUCAUUAAUUCUCGUCCUCGUUGACUCCAUCAACCCUAGUCCCCACUUUCUCUCACUUUUCGUUGGUCUCUAAUGGCUCAGAUUAAAACUUCCUUGACCCAGAUGAGUGAUGGAAUUUUGUUUUAUAUUUUACCAAUUUCUUAUGUUUUAUUCUCUUUACUGUUCUUGACUAAAACUACUAACGUGGUUAACUGGAUUUCAUCUGGGAUUUGGGUAUUUUCUAUUUUUCAACAUGAUCUUGAACUUAAUAAAUUGGGUUUUGAUAAAGCUUCCAAAUGUGGUGUAAAAAAAUGUAGGAUUUAUAAUACUUGCUUUACCAAUAGUUGUUGUGAACACAAUAUUGCUCGAGAUGAUUAGGAACUCCGAACAAUUCAAUGGCGCCACGUGAGUGGGGUGUGGUGGUUCCAUUUUUGGCACUAGUGUAAGUUUGUUACGGUGAUUGGUAAAACGGUUUUGAUGAUAAUUAUAAAAUCCUAAGCCUGUUGAUACUUGUUUGAUUCUAAGUAUCACGUAUAAUGGUUUUCUAAAAUAUUAUGAAUCCUUGAAUCAUAGAUUUAACAAAAAAUUCUAUUUUAGUCACAAGUUAUAGGCAGCAUCAAUAAGGCUUUACAAGUUCUUAAUGUGAAAAAUUACAUUAUUUAUUUAGAUCUAUAUCUUAAUUUUCGAAAUGAAGAUUUGUUGUUGUGGUUUUUCAUGUCUCACUUAUCAGUUUGUGAUGAUUUUUUGUAGAAGAUGGUGGUGGCAAUAAUAAGACAGUGUAAGUUACAAUUUUAAAUAAAUUACACACACUUUAUCAGAAUUUAAUAUCAUCACUUACCCAAAAAAAAAGUGAUUAUUCUUGCUGGGCCUUUGUUUUUUUAAUACUCGCCCGAAGGGAUGCAUAUAGAAAAAUCUUGUGCGAUUUUGGGUCCCUUUUAUCAAAUUGAAUUUUCAUUGAAUUUUGGUGGAUAAAUUUAUAAAUAUGUGGCAAUUUUUGGUGCAGCAAAUUCCUGUGACUGCGAAAAAUCAAUUUUCUGUGAUAAGUUAUAAAGAAGAUGAACUGUAUCUAAGCAGAUCCAAAAAUGGAAAACAAGGACAAGGCAGUGAUUAAGAAUGUUGUGGAGGGUUUUUUUGCUUACGGAAUUUUAAUGCUGUCUAGUAGGUUAAGCCUUGAUGGUGUUUUACUUUUCAUCUUGAGAGUUGUCGUCUUUCAAUACGAAUCGUGUUCGAUCAUUUAUUUCUGGACUCUAAAGAUGAUCGUCACAUUACAAAAGGAUUAUGGAUGUUCGCUAUAUUUAUCAUUGGCUUAGGUGUUUAUGUUUUUCCACAUCAUGAUGCAAAGUUGGCUGUUAAAUUGUUACUCCUCUUGCUGCCACAUAAAUUCUGUCCUCCCAUAGCCCAAUGAGUAGAUAAUCUUUGCUACCAGUAGAAACAAUCUUAGAAAUUUAGUUGUUUUUCUUGAAAUUCAAUGCAACGAUAAGAAAUUGAUCUUUCUACUUAUAUUGAAGCUCUUGUCUUUAAAUAUAUAAUAAAUAAUUUGAAGCUAAAAAAAAUCACGUCCUCAGUAUCCUUCCCAUUAUUGUGAUGAGUUUUGCAUCGGUUAAUGUCGGGUUUUGUUUGGUUUUUUAUGAUUUGAUUUGGUUAAAUAUAAAUUAUCUCAUGGUAGGAUUCAGCUGCUUAAUUUGAUGGGAUGCCUAGGAUGAAUUGAUAGUUUUUUCUUUCGUUUCAUGUGCUACAAAUAUCAAAUAAAUAAAUUGAUACUUGGUGCAAAAAAAGAAUAUAGAGAGUUUUAAUUGCUGCCAUUUUUUAAAAUUUAGAUGGGAAUUCCUUAAAUUUUGUUCGUGUGCCAAUAGUUUACUGCUUCUCUUAAGAAAAAGUUAGGAUUAAAUUGUUGUAAGAAUUUGUUAACUUCCGAUUAGAAAUUAAUUUCUAUUUUGUUAAUGAGAUUGCUUCUCUAUUAUAAUUCAAUAUUAUGUUUAUUUCUCACACAUAUUACAUGCUUGUGGGGACAUUCCUUGAUAAGUCAUCCAUUUGUUAGGACUCAUAGGAGGAAGAGUGCUUUGAAUUAGUUGCUGCUUGUCUUCUUUUGGAUAGAGUAUGCCCACAUCUAAGGUAUGGAGUUGUAUAUAUUUUACUCAACUCUUAAAUUUCAUGUAUGAAUUUGGCAGUCUAGGAAAUAACAAUGUAGAAAUGCAUGGUGUAUGGUGAUAACAUUAGUUCGUGGACCAUGUAAUUUUCAAUUGCUUUUUUAAAUUUUCGUAUAGUACUUCACUACUUCUUUAAACACAUUUUCGAUUGAACUUGGUCAGAAUCUUUAAAUUUUCAGACAUUUUUUUUAACAGCAACUCACAUGUACAUUGGGAAACCGGGGAAUAAGAUUACAAAAAAUAAGUGAAACUCUAUAGGUUAAGGCUGAAAAAUAAUCUUCGAUCAUGGAACUCAACAUGUUAAAAGCCUAUAACGAUAAUGAAAGACAAUGCUCCCUUGUGAGUGCUUUAGCCCACUCGAAUGACCUGGAUAGUGGUUACUCCAAAGUCAUUAUCUAGAAAGGUUAAUUUCCCACAUGCCUAAUAUGUUUUAAAUUUAUUUUGCUUGGUCAAAUACUCUUAAGUUAUACUUCCCUUUAAAAUGGGUUUAAAGCACUAUUACUCAAUCAACUGAUAGCAAAGUUUCGUGUUAGUCAUGGAAGCUUAUUUUAUUCCAAAAUAAUUACUUAAGUUUGUUUUUAGUUUUUAGGAAAGUCACUUAUCUAAAAUACAUCACUUUUUCUCUGCAAUUUUUAUUUUCAUUUGAAUUUCUUUCUUAGUUAGAUUAACACUACCUAUGGGUGUUUUAUUGAAUUCUUCAUUGUCUCAUUUUGAUCAGAAACUAUAGAAGAGAUUUUGUGAGGUAGUCAUAACAGAAAUCAAACUUCGUGUAGAAGAUUGGAAGUAUGUUCUAUGAACAGAUUGUCCUUGCAAAAUUCGUAAUACAUUGUCUUGCAUUUCAGUAUUUGGCUUUGUAUUUCUACCUUCUUGGGGCUAAUUUAUGGCAUUUAUGUGAACAGUUGUUGCAGAAAUAUGAGCUCCAUCAGAUGAGAUAUGGUGGCCUUACAUAUAUAGAAAGGCGGGUAGGCAAAAGCACAAUAUUGCAUUGUCGAACGAAGCAAACAGCUACAAAACGUGCAACGGAUAAAGUGCGGGCCUACAUACAGCGCAUGGAUGAACCUGUAUAUUAUUCGUUACUAUGUCAUAUUUCCGUCCACUGAUGAAUUUUAUGUGACGUUAUUUCUUGAAAAUUGAGCAGACUGUCGUUAAAGCUUUUAGCCAAACUCCAUUAUGAGACAUCGGGCCAUUGGAUACCGUUUGAAAAAAUUGUACUUUUGCACUCGCCUAACAUGUUGGCAAUAUUAUCCAUGUGCUUUAAGUUGGUCUACUAUUUCUUAAGGAAGCCAAUAGUUACGACUUGUGCAACGGAGCUUAGCUUGCAUUAAAUUUGGUUUCAUGGUGUCAGGGGCUACAUCCUAAAGUACAAAUAUUUAUUGCACAUGAAUGUAUAAUGUUUCUGACUGUUGGAAAUUGAUGAAAAACUUCAACGAUUUACGUAUGGUGAAAUGUUGGUAUUGUUAUCCAUGCUGGUGCAGGUGGGUAAAUUUUACCUGGUUUGAAUGUUGUAACACGAUACGUGAAUAUUUGGGUAGUGUCAUGAGUUGACACCCCGAUUCAUGGUUUUCGCAUCCAUUCAAUGGUUAUGUACAACUUGAAGUAGUC